rnacentral:rRNA from 1 species
CGGAGGAAAGAAACUAACAAGGAUUCCCUUAGUAACGGCGAGUGAACAGGGAUUAGCCCAAAUUUGAAAUCUGGUCUUUUCUAAAGGCCCGAAUUGUAAUCUCAAGAACUGUUUUCUACAUUGGACCAUGUUUAAGUCUGUUGGAAUAUAGCUUCAUAGAGGGUGAGAAUCCCGUGUUAUGACAUGGACUCCCAAUGUUCUGUGAUACAGUUUCUAAGAGUCGAGUUGUUUGGGAAUGCAGCUCAAAAUGGGUGGUAAAUUCCAUCUAAGGCUAAAUAUUGGCGAGAGACCGAUAGUGAACAAGUACCGUGAGGGAAAGAUGAAAAGCACUUUGGAAAGAGAGUUAACAGUAUGUGAAAUUGUUGAAAGGGAAACGCUUAAAGUCAGUCUUGUCCUUUUCUGUUCAACUCUUUUCAGAGUGUAUUCAGAUAUUGAGACAGACCAGCAUCAGUCUUGAGUCUUGGAUAAAGGAAAAGGAAAAGUAACAGUCCUUGACUGUGUUAUAGACCUUUUUGGAAUGCAAGGCUUGAAACUGACGGAUUGCAAUGAGCCUUCUUUUUUUGAGAAGGAUAAGUCAUUUUUGGCUUUCUCGUUAAGGAUGCUGGUGCAAUGGCNNNNNNNNNNNNNNNNNNNNNNNNNNNNNNNNNNACAUGCUUGCAAGUGUUUGGGUGACAAACCCAGAUGCAUAAUGAAAGUAAAUGAAGAUGGGAAUUGUAAAAUGCACCAUUGACCGGUCUGGAUUUUUUUAAUGAUAGAUCUGAGUAAGAGCAAGUAUGUUGGGACCCGAAAGAUGGUGAACUAUGCCUGAAUAGGGUGAAGCCAGAGGAAACUCUGGUGGAGGCUCGUAGCGGUUCUGACGUGCAAAUCGAUCGUCAAAUUUGGGUAUAGGGGCGAAAGACUAAUCGAACCAUCUAGUAGC